CAGUAGCCGCGGUAAUACGUAGGUCCCGAGCGUUGUCCGGAUUUAUUGGGCGUAAAGGGAGCGCAGGCGGUUUAGUAAGUCUGAAGUUAAAGGCAUUGGCUCAACCAAUGUAUGCUUUGGAAACUGUUAGACUUGAGUGCAGAAGGGGAGAGUGGAAUUCCAUGUGUAGCGGUGAAAUGCGUAGAUAUAUGGAGGAACACCAGUGGCGAAGGCGACUCUCUGGUCUGUAACUGACGCUGAGGCUCGGAAGCGUGGGUAGCAAACAGGAUUAGAUACCCGUGUAGUCCCUGUCUCUUAUACA
rnacentral:rRNA from 1 species